rnacentral:misc_RNA from 1 species
GGUGGAUGCAUAUAUUGGUAUGAGUAACAAGAGAAGCUGCUUGUAAUUCCAUAUGUCCAGCCCAAGUGCCAUCCUUCUCCAUGGACUCACAAUAUUCAUCAAAUGGUACAUCAUCUUCAAUAAAAGGCUCAAACAUAUCACGGUUAUUCCUGAUAAAUUUUACAGUCAUAGCUCGAUAUUUCUCAUGCUCCUCCUCAUUGCCUUCCAAUUGAUCACCUAAUGC